rnacentral:tRNA from 1 species
GCAGUGAUGGUUCAAUGGUAGAAUUCUCACCUUUCGUGCCUAAGACCUGGGUUCGAUUCCCAGCCAAUGUA